rnacentral:lncRNA from 1 species
AUGGUCAAGGAUCUAAAAUACAAAUAUCCCAAGCUUCGAAAUGUGGCAUUUAAACAAGGACCAAAUUGCAGCAGUGCGUUAAUCACAGGGAAAAUGUAAAAACAAACAAACAAAAUCAAGGCUGAAAAACAAAUCAAUGCAGGAUAAGAGGGACUCAGCCCGCAAAUUGACCUUUCAAGGUGAAAAGGCAAGGCCGUAAUAACCUUUGACCGGUUAUUCUUCUCAAAACAGCUUUCAAAAUCCUUUUCUCUCAAAAUUUUUCUACUCUCUUCCCCUUCAAUCGACUGAACCAAAAGGUUCUUCACUCUUUGCCUCCACGUUAUCAAAUCGAACCCCCCUGAAUCCCCAUCAGAGCUUCGAUUUCAACGAAGUAAACAAUGAUUCGAAGGCUCCUCAAGAAGAUAAGUAUUUUUGCUUCUGUUUAUUUUAUUUUUUACACAUACAAAUAACAAAAAAAAACAAAGAACUCGAAGCAAAAUCUACAGAAAAAUGAGAUUUAAAAUCACCUCUUGAACUGUUCUCUUUUUUCUAUUCAAACUUCUCUGUACAGAUUUGUAUCCCCCAAAAUCAAUAUUUACAAUCGCUUUUUAUAGCCAAAAAUGAAAUAUAAUAUUUACAAUUUUUCCCUUUUUCUCCUCUAUUUGAUUGCUGUAAUUCGGCUAUCUUUGCUGUCAUUUGCUGUUGUGGUUUUCGUUUGUUGCAGGUGUGCAUGGUGUGCAGAAACCGUUCGUAGGCGUGGAGGCCGUUGUGGAGCAUGGAGGCUAGGCAGAAGCUGCUGGUGUCUGCACUAGGCAGCAGGCUAGGGUUUGGGGGUUUUUUUUUGGGUCAUUUGGGCCAUAUUUUGUUGGGUCUUGUUAUUUUGGAUUUUGGGCUUGGGUAGUUUGUUUUAUGGACUGCAAACAAUUUAAAUAAUUUCAAAGGCCAGGGCAAAAUGGGUCUUCUACAUGCUCUAUUCUCGUUGCACGACAAUAAACAAAGAGAGGCAGCUGUAGAAGCCCAAAUAAUCUCAGGCCCAUUUUAAUCUAAACCUACCCCAACCCAUACCAAGACCUAUUACAAUCAAACCCAAUUACCUAAAAUAAAUCCCUAACCCAUUACAAACAACUCACAGCCCAAAACAAAAAAACAAAAUACCUAACCCUAAUCAGCACCAACUCCACUGGCCACUAGCCACCUGCCCUCUGACGCUGCGGCCAUCGCCCAAGGUCACGUCCACCACCCACCCUCUGCACCUGCAAGAAAUUAAAAGGAGGAGACAGAAACUAAUAAAAAAAAUUGUAUGGCUAUAAAAAGCCAAGUCUAAAUUUUUUGUUUCUUCUUCGGCAAUUCAAACACAAAUAAGAAAAACAUUCAAUUUCAGAGUAUGAAUAGCAAUUCAAUCAGCAUUUAAAUACAAGAAUAGCCUCCAAACAAAUCGAAUACCAAAGAUUAAAGUAUCAAAAGUGUGAAAAGCCUAAGGUAAUUAUUCUUUUUUUCAUUUUAAAUUCUGUUAUGGUUUCAUUUUUUCACAUAUAUAUAUAUCAAAAACAUAUAUAUAAAUAUAAUACAAAAAAAUAAAAAUUUACAUUUUCCGGCCACCGUUCACUAUGGCCGGCGCCGGCGACAGUGGUUCGGCGAUCGAACCGGUGACCGGCCAUUGGCCGAAAAUCCCCCUCCCCCUCCCUUCUCCCUUCCUUUUUUUUUUUGCAAAUUUUGGACCUUUUAUAGCCCUCAAAACGACGUCGUUUUGGGGUUGGCCUUUAAACCUCAAAACGACAUUGUUUUGAUGCGACCCGGUCCGAC